rnacentral:rRNA from 1 species
UACGUAGGCAGCGAGCGUUGUUCGGAGUUACUGGGCGUAAAGGGUGUGUAGGCGGUUUGUCGCGUCUGCCGUGAAAAUUCGAGGCUCAACCUCGAACUUGCGGUGGGUACGGGCAGACUAGAGUGUGGUAGGGGGAGACUGGAAUUCCUGGUGUAGCGGUGAAAUGCGCAGAUAUCAGGAGGAACACCGGUGGCGAAGGCGGGUCUCUGGGCAGUAACUGACGCUGAGGAGCGAAAGCGUGGGUAGCAAACAGG